rnacentral:lncRNA from 1 species
GUGUUGUAGGCCAAUGGUAGGACACGAGGCACAAUAUCAUCCGUCAGAUUAAUGGGCUUGGAACGGGCUUCUUUGAUAAGCGUGGAUUCGUCCUUCAGGUCUCCCACCAGUAGCCUGUAAGAGUUGCCUUUGAGGCCCUGCUGGUUCAGGAGUUUCUCAAGCUUCUUCGGUCUAAACCAAAUCCAGUCCAAAACUCCCCAUACAGAUAUUAUCACAAGAAGAAUGAAACAAGAGGCUGCAAUCAAGUUGUUCAUCAUCUCUUAUCAUAAGGAGAUAUUAUGUAAGUGAAGCCCUCCUUAAUUAGAAUUUGGUAGGUAGAUCAAAAUAAUGGGAUAUAAUUUUGGAUUGUUGAAUACUCAAUUAUAUACUAGUGGGAUUGGAAAUGGCACAAUAUUUGUUUGUUGACUAUUUCACCUAGGAUCCUAUCCAUUAAGCAAGAAGACAACUUUUGAAUAUUCAAUUAUGAAUAAUGCUAGAGACACAAACUAUUUUAUAAAUAUUUUAUAAAUUACUGAUGUGGCAUACUCCACCUCAGCAUAUUGUGUGGGGCCAAAGACUACAUUAAAGCAAUUUGUUAAUCAAUAUGCUGAGGUGGAAUAUGUCACAUUAGCAGUUUGUAAAAUAAUUUGUGUCUGUAUCAUCACUCUUCAAUUAUAUACUAGUGGGAUUUUAAAUAGAUGUACGUACGUGGCACAAUUUCAAACACAGGAUUACAAGGAGCUUACUGAAUAUCGAUAUCAAAUGUUAUCAUUAUAAAUUACUCUCUCCAUUCUAUAAUAAAAAUUAUUUUAAUUUAUUUAUCGUUUACAAUUUUAUUCAAAAAUAAAUAUAUAAUAUGUUUAAACAAUAUAUUAUCAAUUGGUUUAAAUAUGAAUUAGUACCCUAAACUAUAGGUCAUAUUCCACUUCGGUGAUCCACCUUUCAAUUUUGUCAAUUAGAUGAUUAAACUAUCAAUUUUUUCAAUUGGACCAAAUUGAACAUGCCACGUCAGAAAUUGCUGACGUGGCUUAUUAUGUGGGACCUUAAGAAGCUUAUUUGGCAAAAAAAACUAUUUUUAAAUUAUUAAAUAAACAACUCUGUUUAACACAAAGGGCAAAUUAGUCAAAACCUAAAUUUAACAUUUCAAAUUAAAAUAAAACAAACAUUACGCUAAAUAUAUCAGUUCUCUUCCAUUACAAUUGAUCGAUCAAGACAAAAGCCCCCAAUCAAACGAAAAAAUCCUAGCUAAACAUGGAAUGAUUCUCAUCAUCAGAACCGCCUCUCCCUCCAUCCCUUUCCGAGGUCUCCUCCCUCCCNNNNNNNNNNNNNNNNNNNNNNNNNNNNNNNNNNNNNNNNNNNNNNNNNNNNNNNNNNNNNNNNNNNNNNNNNNNNNNNNNNNNNNNNNNNNNNNNNNNNGAUCGAUUUUUCGAUGGCGGCUUUGAGAUUUGAGUGUGAUUUGGUUGUCGGCGGCGGCGACGGCGACUUUGAGCUUUGGGAAUGAUUUUGUUGUGCCGUCGGCGGCUGAGGAGAUGGGUAUUCAGUAUAUAGAGGCCGGUGUUCAUUGUUUUCAUUCCUUUUGGGGACCGAGCUAUGAAAAAAUCGAGCUGGCCGGUGUAUAUGAAGGCUUCCCCUGCACCCACCAAAAAGAAUUGUAGAUUGAUUUGUCUGAUGAUUUUUGUUUCUUGUGUUGUUAUUGAUUUGGUCUUGUUAUUGAUUUGGUUUUGCUGUUUGUUUGUUUUGCGAAAUCUUGUGAUUUGGUUUUGGCUUGAUUCAGUAUCUUUGUUUGUUUGAAAGCAUUUGUGCUAUUACUGAAAUCUUGCUUUUCUCAGACCACGUUCGCCGGAAUCGUUGAGCAAUUUGUGAUUCUUAGAGCUAGGAUUUUUUCGAUCUGACGUUGGGGCUUGUUUUUUUUAUGACCUUCUUUACUGUUGAUCGAUGAUGUUAUUGUUUGUGAAGCUUUUGAUUUGUUUAAUUUUAAUUAAUGUAUGGGUUGUGACCAUUUUACCCUCCGUUAUAUCAAAAAUGUUUAAUCAAUAAAUAAAAUAUUAUUUUCUCAUUACAACUCAGCUGACUAAUGGCCUACUCAGCUAGUCACGUCAGCAAUUUCUGACAUGACAGACCCAGUUGAAUGGAAGUGAAAAAAAUUAAUAGUUCAAUCAUCUAAUUGACAAAAUUGAAAGGUGAAUCACCAAAGUAGAAUAUGACCUAUAGUUUAGAGUAGUAAUUUAUAUUUAAGCCUUAUCAAUUUACUAUAGAAGAAACAAGAAGAAAAAGAUGAAUGAUCACUCAUUUUUUGUACAUACCAUAUUUUGAGAUGGUGUUGUAGGCCAAUGGUAGGACACGAGGCACAAUAUCAUCCGUCAGAUUAAUGGGCUUGGAACGGGCUUCUUUGAUAAGCGUCGAUCCUUCCUUCAGGUCUCCCACCAGUAGCCUGUAAGAGUUGCCUUUGAGGCCCUGCUGGUUUAGGAGUUUCUCAAGCUUCUUCGGUCUAAACCAAAUCCAGUCCAAAACUCCCCAUACGGGUAUUAUCACAAGAAGAAUGAAACAAGAGGCUGCAAUCAAGUUGUUCAUCAUCUCUUAUCAUAGGGAGAGAUUAUGUGAAAUUGUAAAUGAAGCCCUCUUUAUUUAUAGUUUGAUAAGUAGAUCAAAAUAAUUGAUAGA